rnacentral:lncRNA from 1 species
CCAUGUUCUAGACCUUUGAGGGCCACCUGAUAACAUUUAAUACCUUUUCCAGGUGUAUACAGUUUUGAAGGUCACUUUCUGCUUUCAGGAGUUAGACACUAUUAGGAGCCUUCCUAUGGAAAAUGGCCAGGAGUAAAAUGCUGAAAUAAUUUCAGCAAGUCUUCACUUUAAGCUUAGCAAGAAAAAGAGGUUCUUUUGAAAGAAAUGAGAUGUUUCCAUAACAAACAAAAGCAGACACAACAGACAGCAUUUCAUGCAUACUUGACUUGAUUAAAGUCUCACAAGACCAUUUUACAUCAGUGAUUCUCAGAUGUUAAAUAAUUUGCCCAAGUUUGCACAGCCUAUAGGCAACAAAGCAAAGAUACUAACCCAAGUCAGACUAAUGUUAAAAGUCUGGCUGUUCCACAAAAAGCUUUCUCUUCUAGCUUACUUUCAUUUUAUAUCCAUCUGUUGGCACAUAACUUAUUCUUGACAUUU